rnacentral:rRNA from 1 species
UACGUAGGGGCAAGCGUUGUCCGGAUUUAUUGGGCGUAAAGAGCGUGUAGGCGGCCAUACAGGUCAGCUGUGAAAACUCGAGGCUCAACCUCGAGACGUCGGUUGAAACCGUAUGGCUAGAGUCCGGAAGAGGAGAGUGGAAUUCCCGGUGUAGCGGUGAAAUGCGCAGAUAUCGGGAAGAACACCUAUGCGAAGGCAGCUCUCUGGGGACGGUACUGACGCUGAGACGCGAAAAGCGUGGGGAGCGAAACAGG